rnacentral:lncRNA from 1 species
CCUAGAUUUUGUUUGUCUGAAUGUAUUUAUCCAUUUGCUCUAACGGCUCAACCAUGCUUCUCGUUUUUAAAUAGAUUAGACCGUUGGUUUUUCCCGUUUAAAUGGUUUAACAUUAGUAUUUUUGUGGGCCCUUUAUAGCGUGCUGUUCAGUGUGAGCCAAGGCUCCGUAUUGAAGGCCGUACCUUGGCCUAUAAUGGUUUACUUUUAUAUAUUUUACGUUGAUGGAAAGUUGUCUCAUUGUCACCCAUACCACAUCUUCCUAUAUAUAUUGACACAUCUGUGUCAUCUCUGCUAUCGUUCACUUAAAUAUCGUCAUUUGAGCUUUAUGGACGAGCAAUAGGUUGUAAUUCAGGUUUGAUUGGUCGUUCCGACAUCUCUUGAUGACAAGUAAUAUACUACUUAUGUGUAUAGUAUCAGUUUAAUUGAAGUCUGGAGCUGGCGUGUCAGUUAACUGCUAGUAGUCUGUUGUUAUUUAUGUAUUAUUGUCAUUUUGUUUAUUUUCUUUAGUCACAUCUUCUGACAUCGGACUCGGAUUUCUCUUAAACUGAAUUUUAAUGUGCGUAUUGUUAUGCGUUUACUUUUCUUCGUUGGCUAGAGGUAUAGAGGGAGGGUUGAGAUCUCAAAAACAUGUUUAACCCCACUAUGUUUGCGCCUGUCCCAAGUCAGGAGCCUCUGGCCUUUGUUAGUCUUGUACUAUUUUUAAUUUUAGUUUCUUGUGUACUUUUUGGAGUUUAGUAUGGCGUUCAUACUUUGCUCCCUCUUCCUCUACAUCAACCCCUACCACCUCGCCCACGUGUUCUAGUAGAUUUUGGUGGCAUGUCUUAUUGUUUGCGUGAAAUCGCCGUUUUAAUCAGAUAUAGAAGGAACGGAACUAUAUUGAUAUGAAACACGAUAUUGACGGUAUUGCUGAGAACGUAGUAAGAUCGUGAUAUGAACGUAGUAUAAUCGUGGUAAGAACGUGCUAUAAUCGCAGAAAGAUCGUGUUGCAAUCGGAUAACUCGUGGUAUGGGCGUAGUGAGAACGUGAAGAGCGUAGAAAGAUCUUUAUAAGCGUAGUGAGGUCGUAGAAUAAGCGCAGUGAGAACGUGGUUUAAUCGUAGCGGGAUCGUUAUAGAAGCGUAAUUAGGACGUAGAAGCAUCGUGAAAGCAACGAAAAUUAACAAUUUCAUGCCGCUCAUACCGCGACCUCACCACGAUCUAAAUUUAUUUUAGAUCGCGCUGAGCGUGGUGCGAUCGUGGUCUAGUGGGAGUGGG